GAACGCGGGAUUAGUAAAAUUAAACCAAUUACCAAUUAUUAGGGAAAUACAGAAUAUGUUUCCAUUUGUUUUCACAGAUGCAACACUGCAUAAUAAUAAUAAUAAUAAUAAUAAUAAUAUUCUUUAUUAACCGAACCUACUAACCGAUUUAACAAUUAAAAUUUCUUUUUCCUCGCAAGUGUGUUGAAAAACGUCGUAUGAAACGCGUGUGCGUCAUCCAACUUAGCACACAUGUAUCAACAAUGUACUAUUACAUUAGACAUUAUCUAGUUUUAGAAGACAUAGAAAACACUUUUCAAAGAUACAGCUUACUUUCAAAAUGAAUUAUAGCAAAAUUACCAUAAAAGUUUCUAAGAAUCUCAUCGUACGUACUAAAACGCCACAACGCGAUUGGUUGAUGAGUUCGCAUCACGCGCGCGAUUCAUCGCAACUAUGUAGUUGCGUUAGACUGCACGAUUGGCUCGAAUUCGUGAGUGACACCGCUGAACUAGUACAAUUCUUAGUGCCCGUAAGGCCCGUCCUUAGAUCUUUAAAAAAACUUCAAAUUUUUUAGUGUAGGUGUAUACAAAUAUGUUUACAGGGGUACCUUGGCUAUGAAAUAAACUACAGGUUGCUCUGGCUCCUACACUAGGCUCAGCCUGUCUCGUAGGUAACCCAGACUCAAAUGAGUUCAUACAAUGGGGUUGGCAACUGUCAAAGGUUUGCAUAGAUGGCGCCAUCAUAGCUUGCCCCUGUCUCUAGUUUUGUUCUAUGAGAUUUGGCUUAAAGUACUGGAAUCCAGGUCACAAAAUUCCAAAAAAAAAAAAACAAGAAUUUGACACAAUUCUAGGGAUUGACAGGGCAAGCCAUAAUGGCGCCAUCUGUUUAAUACUUCGACCGGCCAACCCCAUUGAUAAUUAAAGCCUAUAAGAAGAGGAAAUACUAAAAUAUUAUAAUUUUACAGUUAUACAUGUAUGAUAAUGAUGGGACAUGUCAAUUACUAAAGUGAAAAUUAAGGCAGGUACUUUUAUUGUUCAUAUACGAAGAAAAGCCCAUAUUGACAAAUGUUGUUAUCUGUUAUUUUUCUAUAGUUUAACAUACUUUAUACACCUAAGAUACUGUAAAUUAACCGCGUGGAAGAGCGGUGCUCUCUUAGCACAAGUGUUUUCUCACUUAAAAUAUUGUAAUUUGUCUUUUAAGCUACUGAAUAAAAAUAUUUUAUUUUUA